rnacentral:rRNA from 1 species
UACGGAGGGUGCAAGCGUUGUCCGGAUUCAUUGGGUUUAAAGGGUGCGUAGGCGGUACGCUAAGUCAGUGGUGAAAUCCUGGGGCUCAACCCCGGAAUUGCCAUAGAUACUGGUGUGCUUGAGUUCGACCGAGGCGGUUGGAAUGCGUGGUGUAGCGGUGAAAUGCUUAGAUAUCACGCGGAACACCGAUUGCGAAGGCAGAUCGCUAGGUCGCGACUGACGCUGAGGCACGAAAGUGCGGGGAUCAAACAGG